rnacentral:lncRNA from 1 species
AAAACUGCAGAAAUCCUUUGAAGGAGGUGAAGAAAUGAGAGAGAGGGUUUCUAUUGAGUGCAUUGACACAGUUCUAUGAAGAGUUUUGGUAUUCACUGGAUCUUCUCUCAAUGUGAUUCCUAAAGGCUCCCUUUCUAACUUAACCACUGAAGGACUCGUAAUAGAACCGAGUGAUCUUGUGGUGAGAGAAUUUGAUAGGUCAAGGAGAUUCGUG